UACGGGGGGAGCAAGCGUUGUUCGGAUUUACUGGGCGUAAAGGGCGCGUAGGCGGCCAGCACAAGUCAGUUGUGAAAUCUCCGAGCUUAACUCGGAAAGGUCAACUGAUACUGUGCGGCUAGAGUGCAGAAGGGGCAACUGGAAUUCUCGGUGUAGCGGUGAAAUGCGUAGAUAUCGAGAGGAACACCUGCGGCGAAGGCGGGUAGCUGGGCCGACACUGACGCUGAUGCGCGAAAGCCAGGGGAGCGAACGGG
rnacentral:rRNA from 1 species